UAGAUAUUUAUGCGGUCUAGUUUAUUUGUGCUCUUUAUCUUUUAUCUUCAUAUUGUCAUUUUUAUGUAAACAUUAACUUUACUGUUGAAAAAUAGCACAGCGCGAGCGAUCUCGAGUCUAUUCAAGUUAACUUACAGAACAGCUCUUUUAGCCAUAACUUGAAACAUCUAGGUGCACCCAAGCCCCAUGGAGAAACCUGUGAGCCCCAGUCAGGUGCGUCUGGAUCGUGUGUCCUCUAAUGUUUUGAAGGACCUGUUUAACACCAGCACGCUGCUUCAGAAAGAGACCGAUAGGGAAGAGAGUCGUCCCAAAAGAGGGCAAAUAGUUUCCACAGCAACACAGAGCGGUGGACACCGGCCAACCUUUGAACCACUCGUGACAAGUGGGCUUGGCAUUGGUUGCAGAGAUGCUAGGCACACUCAGUCAGUUUUUUCCUGUUUCUCCAUCAGCAGUACCAGACAAAUGAACAAUAUUGCUGUGCAGGGCAGCAUCAUCCACCUGUCCCCUUGCCCCAAGCCCAAGAACAGCUGCCCGGCCGCUUCCCGUGGCACAAAACUGCCCCAGUUGUACAGAGGAUGCCCUGCUGGUCGUGAUGGGGAGAACUCAGUCAAGAAGUUGUGCAUACUUACCGCUAUAAAGCCAUAUAAUGUGGAGAAAGAGCGGGCCAGGUUUUUUAAAUCAGACUUUAACUACAAUCCUCAGUUUGAGUACAGCAACCCCGUCUCAGCACAAGUUCUGGCAAGGCAUGGCAACGCUUCAGACCGCUUCCUCCCACAGGCUGUGCGGAUCAUGGAGUCGGCUUUGCAGAAAUACGGAUCAUAUGAGAAGUUUGAGCAAGCUACAGGAGGAAACCUCCUCACCAAGAGCCGCAUCUGGUACCAUGUCAAAAAGUACAUGGAAAAGGAAGGAUGUAUGGGAGAGAUUGUGGUUAAUCUUACAGAUGAUCUGCUGUCCAGAGCAUCAAUGACUGUGGUGAAUGGCAGGCCUACACUUACCAUUAACAUCUGUGCUGCCAGAGAGCAGUGGCUAGAGGGAAUGCUGAGACAUGAGAUCGGUACACAUUACUUCAGAGGCAUCAACAACAGUCAUCAGCCAUGGAGCAGCAGCGUGGGCAGGAAAAAACACAACCUGCGACCCAUCAACCCCACUGAAGAGGGGCUGGCCAGCAUUCACAGCGUGCUCUUCCGCAAGGACCCAGUCCUGUGGCGGGCCGCACUGCUCUACUACACCGUACACAAAGCCAGCCAUAUGUCCUUCUCACAGCUGUUUCACGACCUGGGCCGAUUCGUCCACGACCCAAACACGAGGUGGGACUACUGCGUCAGAGCCAAACGCGGACAGACAGACACAGCACAGCCAGGUUGUUUCAGUAAGGACCAGGUUUAUUUAGAUGGUAUUCUGAAGAUCCUCAGAUUCAGAGACAAGAUUGACUUCCAUCGUCUUAUGGCUCUAGGAAAGGUAUCGUAUGAGGAUGUGGAUCGUCUGAAGGGUUUGGCUCUGAUGGAGCGUGUACGCAUUCCUCACUUCCUUCAAGACAGAGCACGCUACACAGAACAGCUCCACAAAAUCAUGAAGGUCAACCAGAUAACCGACGAAGAGCUAUGCACACUUAUUUGAGCAUGUGACCUUUGACCUAAGUGAGAGCUGCCAGUAUUGUGAAGUCAAUGGCUGUAUUUAUUUACAAGGACCUUCACCCAUAUUAUGUCGUCGAAAAUGGCCAAGUCCUGAAAACACCGGGAAUUCACCAAAAAUUGUAUUCCAGCUCUUUAAGAUAAGACGAGGAAAGAUUGAGAAAGCACACAGAGGGUUGCACAAACGUGUGAUUGAUGGAAUUCAUAUUCCUAUGACAAUCACUGCCCAUUUUAUUGAUAAUGAGUGAAAAAUGCACUCCAACGUGCUGCAGACAAGGGCAAUGGACAAGACUCAUAUUGCAGAGGUUACACAGAAAACCACGGAGUGCUGCAGCUUCCACAACACAAGUUCAUAACUGAUGAUGUUAUCUGCUGGAACAGCGCCUACGAGAUGCUCUCCGGGUUUCUUGAGCAGCAGCCAGCUGCCAUCUACGCUGCCCUCUUAUCUCUUAAGUGAGGAAGAUUGUGACUGACUGCAGCCUGACUGAGACAGACAUCUCAAAUGCUGUAAAGAUUGUCCAAGCUCUCAAGCCAGUGAUGGUGACCACACAAAUGAUGUGCGAUGUGCAGUUUCUGUCAUUGCUCCACUUCGUGCCCAACUUUAAAACGAGACCACUGAGGAUUCACCUCGUGUCAGAGAGAUAUAAAGCAUCAAUCAAGACCUGUCGAAAGGAUAUAACUCUAUACACAGGAGAAAUUUGUCAGUUUGUGUGUUUACAGAAAAAAUUUACUUUAAUUUACAGACAGAAAAACCUUUUAUGCUGUUUUCUAACAUUUUAAACUUGAAUAAUAAGAGAAAACCUGCACUUAAACGGAUAGUUCCCCAAAAAUGAAAAUUAUGGAAGUAAAUGGGGCUCAUGAACGGUUUGGUUACAAACAUUUCAUUAAAAUAUCUUCAUGUUCAUCAGAAAAAAGAUAUGUAUACAGGUUUGUAACAACAUGAGAGUGAGUGAAUGAUGACAGAAUUUACAAUUUUGGGUGAACUAUCCCUUUAACAUUUUCACAGGCAAUUUGUUUUCAUAGUUAGACAGAUAUUAUGAGGUAUCAUUAUAAGAUUGCUAGCAAUAUACAGCUAUUAUCUGUAUUGCGAGGACCAUAUCGUGAUGUCAUAGUCAGUGACCUCACUAACAUACUGUGACCAAACACCCAUCACUAAGCUUCUCAUCUCUUUGCAAUUUUCUUUGUAACUUUUUAUCAAUUUUUGUCUUUGUACCUGUCUACAUUCAAUAUUUGUGCACUUUAAUGUUCACAACCCAGUUAAAUCUAAAUCUACUUGUAAUUUUAACAGUCGUUGACAAGAAAUCCGUACAGUUCUUCAUGAGUAAUUUAUGAUUCUUUAAUAUCAACCGUGGGAUCAGAUAAUUCAGCCGAUAAAGCACAAAGUCCAUUAAACAGAAGAUAAAUAUACUGUCAUCAAAUCAGGUCUACAAACUUUUUUUUCGAUUUUCAUGAUGUUUUUGUGUGUAUUUGUGACAUUUAAAUCUUUAUUAAUUUAGGGUGAUUAAAUGUUAAAAUCAGGGUUAAUAUUAUGGGUGCCAAAACGUUUAUUUUAAGAUGACGUGUCCUUUAUGAAAGCAGACAAUCCAGUGAGUCAAUGUCAAAAUCGAUCCGAAUAACUUCUCACUCCCAUUGACACAACAUGCUGUGAUUGUAUUUUAUGAGCUUUUUGAGCUGCUCUGUUCCUGAUGUUUUUCCAUCCUUUAAUUUUCAUUUUGAAAAUGAAAUAUUUUCAUUCAGAUAAAGUGUGUUCAGUGAUCUAUAGGAAAGUAUGUUAAAUUCAAAUGAAAUAAAACAUUGUUUCAAUUUUCAUACCCGUAUCACUCAAAGUUUGUUGACUUUGUUUUUAUGAAUUGGCUUCAUGUCAGACAUAGAGCACUGAUAAAUAAUUGAAUCUAAUGCAACAUUAAGUACAUGUAUCCACAGGACACUAGACUUCUGGGCUUUAAACAAUAAAUGUCAGCAGUUUACAAGUUAGCAAUGAUUAAUUUACAGUGUCUAUAACACUCUCUCAAUUGUUUACUGUAAUUUAUGUCUGUAGAAAUAAAA